UACGAAGGGGGCUAGCGUUGCUCGGAAUCACUGGGCGUAAAGCGCACGUAGGCGGAUUGUUAAGUCAGGGGUGAAAGCCUGGAGCUCAACUCCAGAACUGCCCUUGAUACUGGUAGUCUCGAGUCCGGAAGAGGUGAGUGGAAUUCCGAGUGUAGAGGUGAAAUUCGUAGAUAUUCGGAGGAACACCAGUGGCGAAGGCGGCUCACUGGUCCGGUACUGACGCUGAGGUGCGAAAGCGUGGGGAGCAAACAGG
rnacentral:rRNA from 1 species